AAUAGAUACCCGGGUAGUCCACGCCGUAAACGAUGAAUGCUAGGUGUUAGGGGUUUCGAUACCCUUGGUGCCGAAGUUAACACAUUAAGCAUUCCGCCUGGGGAGUACGGUCGCAAGACUGAAACUCAAAGGAAUUGACGGGGACCCGCACAAGCAGUGGAGUAUGUGGUUUAAUUCGAAGCAACGCGAAGAACCUUACCAGGUCUUGACAUCCCUCUGAAUCCUCUAGAGAUAGAGGCGGCCUUCGGGACAGAGGAGACAGGUGGUGCAUGGUUGUCGUCAGCUCGUGUCGUGAGAUGUUGGGUUAAGUCCCGCAACGAGCGCAACCCUUGAUUUUAGUUGCCAGCACUUUAAGGUGGGCACUCUAGAAUGACUGCCGGUGACAAACCGGAGGAAGGCGGGGAUGACGUCAAAUCAUCAUGCCCCUUAUGACCUGGGCUACACACGUACUACAAUGGCCAGUACAACGGGAAGCGAAGUCGCGAGACGGAGCCAAUCCUAUCAAAGCUGGUCUCAGUUCGGAUUGCAGGCUGCC
rnacentral:rRNA from 1 species